rnacentral:rRNA from 1 species
GUUUCGAAUCAUUCACAAUGGGCGAAAGCCUGAUGGUGCGACGCCGCGUGAGGGAUGAAGGUCUUCGGAUUGUAAACCUCUGUCACCGGGGAAGAAACGCUUCAAUUUAACAGAUUGAAGCCUGACUUAACCCGGAGAGGAAGCAGUGGCUAACUCUGUGCCAGCAGCCGCGGUAAUACAGAGACUGCAAGCGUUAUUCGGAUUCACUGGGCGUAAAGGGUGCGCAGGCGGCUGAGUGUGUCAGAUGUGAAAUCCCGAGGCUCAACCUCGGAACUGCGUCUGAAACUACUCGGCUAGAGUAUUGGAGAGGGUAACGGAAUUCACGGUGUAGCAGUGAAAUGCGUAGAUAUCGUGAGGAACACCAGAGGCGAAGGCGGUUACCUGGACAAUUACUGACGCUCAGGCACGAAAGCGUGGGUAGCAAAAGGGAUUAGAUACCCGAGUAGUCC